CAUUACAGAUUUAUUGCUCAUUUUAUUUGAACAGGAGUCACAAGGCUGACAUUGUGCCUUACAAGCAUGAAAGAAUUAAGAUGGAGAGCUUUAAGCCGAUUUGCACUCAUUUAUUUAAUAAUAAUAAUAAUAAUAAUAAUAAUAAUAAUAAUAAUAAUAAUAAUAAAACACUUGUGAUAUACUGAUGGCCAGGUACUGAGUUAGACAUAGACAGACAUAGAUAACAGAUAUUUUUAAGUAUCGGAUAAAAACCAAUAAUUCAUCCAAAAAUUCAGUAGUGCACUCGUCAGGCCCUGUGUGCUGAGGUAAAUCGGGAAUCAUGCUGCAUAGUCGACCAGGACUAACACAAAGCCUUGGAUCAGAGGCGUACGUACCAAUUCUUUCGAAGGACACAGUGGAGGAAAGCUAAACUGGUAAAACCUAGAACUGGGACUCAGUCAAAGCUGCUUUCUCCUUUACUACACUUUCUAACAGAAUAAUGAAGACUUGUGUUUGUGACUCUGGUCCUUACCUUGAUGCUGAUGAGUGGUGUUUCUGCUCUGACAUGCAACACCUGUGCCCCGUUGUAUAAUUCCAAGUGUUUACCCAUUCCUAAAACCUGCUAUUACACAGAUGCCUGUAUGACUCAUUAUCGGGUGCUUCAGAAACCUAUCCAUUAUUCGCAAUGCCACUUUAUGUCAGACUGCCUUCGUCUAGAGAAGUUACCUUUCUUGCAAAUCACAUGCUGUCAGGAAGACUUGUGCAAUUAACACCGUGUUUAAGCAUGAACAUGCUUCAUCUAAAUGAUGAUUCCAUUAUUAUUGUUUAAUGGAAGCAUGCAAACAGCAACAUCAGUAAGAUAUUCUGUUCACUCCGAGACUCUGUUUUUAAUCAAAUCCUGUACUGAAAAAUAAAUGCAUAAUAAAAUAAUUUUAGCAGCUUAUUUAUUUGUUUGUCUGUCUCAUCAAGACAAAAGCACAACUAUUAUCUAUUAUCUGUCUUCUUUUACAUUUAACUCUACAAUAUUUUAUGAAUCAUAAACAUACAAUGCUGCCUUACAAGCAUGGACUAAAGAUGAGGGAUAGUAUGAUGUGGCCAGUUCCUGAGUUAGUGAGACAAUAAUGAUACUGAAUGCCAUUAAAGAGAGAGAAUUUUUAACACCGACAGCAUGAAUCCAUGGACCCAGCCUGCCAUGUGUCAGCAGUCCGACAUGGUGAAGGUGGUGUAAAUGAAUAUGUACUGAACAGGAUUUUUUUUUUUUUUUGCAACACUCCAAACAAUUGCUUUAAUGUUCAAUGAUCUGAACCUGAUAGAACAACCUUUGGGUUGUAUUAUGUUUGUUAUGUUCUGUAAAGCUGCUUUGAGAUGAUAUCAAUUGUUAAAUGUGCUAUAUAAAUAAAUUUUAAUUGAAUUGAAUUCAGUACUGGUUCAUCAAAGCUACUUUUUCCUUUACUUCACUCUAUAAACACUGAAGGUAAGAUCUUAUAGAGUAACAUACUAAUGGCUCGGUGGAUGGAUGGAUUUGAAAUUUUCUUAUAAAAUAUUAUUUCAGUUACCUACAUUUAAUAUUGAAUAUAUAUUAACUAGUGGUUGUUGUUUUGUUAUUGUUGUUGUUGUUGUUUUGCAAUUAUAAAAAAUACCCUUUUUACUCUGUAGAAUAAUGAAGAUUCUGUUCUUGACUCUGAUUCUUACCUUGAUGGUAAUGAGAGGUGAUUCUUUUCUAAAAUAUGCUUACUGUCAUCCAGGGAGAGGAGAAAUGUGUUUCUAUGAUUUUCAGUCCUGCAUUGCAGCGAAUGCCUGUAUUACUUAUGAGCUCAAGAACGAACCAUGUUCUUCAGUAGCCACCUUUUGCUUUGAUUACUGCUUUGCACACUCUUGGC